GUUUAACGUAAAGCAGGAAGUAAGUUUGCUGGUCCGUGAAGGAAUGUGGCGUGGAAAAACGCGGGGAGGGAAACGUGCUAAAGCACAACACGACUAAUCGAUAAGCUGGGUUUUAAAAUCAUAUAAAAGGUAAUGAUGAUACGACCACCUUUAUCUAACAUGAAACCACGAGGUAUACUGAACUAAGUCGCGUUUUGUCAGAUAAGUUAAAUAAUUGUUUAUAGUUUGUGGUUCAAGCUGUAUAGUCUUUAAGCUUUUUUAGAAAAACACUUCUGGUAAAAAGUGAAUGUUGACGAGGAUAUAUAAUGGACUAAGGGGACAGAAUGUCUGCCUCAACAUAAAAGCUGUUGCAGCUCCUCAAACGGAUACCAUUCAUUGAUUUCGAAGUGUUGUCUAUCCACCAAUUCCUGGAUCUAUGAUUGGCCAUUGUGAUUAAAAAAAAGUGUUUUUUGUGAAUUGUUGUCAAAAGCAGAUGUCUUCAUGCGCUCUGAUGUCACGUGGUGCCAGUUCACUCCCAAAUGUGGACGUUCUGCAGAUGUUUCUCAUCGGCUCAGCACUGAUUCCUAUGGAUUAUUUCAAUUGUUUGAAUGCUUUUAAAACAAACUGUAUAAUAAAACUCUAAAACGUGUUAAUUCACACAACAACGUUGCAUGCAUUCUCAAGAACAAAUGCAGAUCAAAGCGCUUUGGUAAAUUGGAGUACAUUGGUAAGCGCUACAGUUUAAAUCCACAGUACUACCUUUUGAAGGUCAUUCCGCUGGUAAGAACUUGGUGAACGUGAAGGAAAAGUUCCACAGAGACUCAUGAGGACACAGAUAACCAGCAGCGCAACAGGUGAUGCCUACACGAGUCUUCUUCAUCCUAGUCAAGCAAUACAGAAGUGGAGAGGUCAGCUAGAUGUUGCUUAUAUGAGACUUCACAAGUGACACAGUUAUUGAACUUAACUGAGCUAAAUGAUGACACUACUGUCUGUAGAGCUAAAUUUGUUGCAUAACUGAUAUGUUUAUUAAAUGUUAAAAGCUGCUCUGAAGCAAUCUUUACACUCUUAAAAAUAAAGACUCCAAAGGGGGAGUUCAUUGAAGAAUUAUUUUUGGUUCCCCAGAGAACCAUUCAGUGAACAGUUCUUAAAGGGGUCAUAUGAUGCGAUUUCAGGUUUUCAUUUCUCUUUGGAGUGUUACAAGCUGUUAGUGCAUACAUAAGAUCACUAAAGUUGCAAAGACUAAAGUCUUAAACCCAAAGAGAUAUUCUUUAUAAAGGUUUAGACUCGACUAGCUAUUCUAAAACUCCUCGUUUAAACACGCCCCCACAUGUCUACGUCACUGUGUGGGAAGAUUUGCAUAACACCGCCCAAAUGUUCAUGCAAAGAAAGAAGGCAUAACUUUUAUUCUCGCUGUAGUAUUGUUGU